GGACAUUGCGCCUGCGCACCACGCGACGCCCGGGCCGGGGUCUAAUGGGCGGGGACGCCGCGCCUGCGCAAAGCGGACCCGCGGACCGUGGCGCUGGGUGGCCACGGAGGUCCCGCGCUCCCCGACCGAGAUAGGGCGGGCCCUAUUUCGGGGAGAUGUUGGGCACCAACUUUUUUUAAAGCCCCGUGGGUGGUUCUCCGGGAUCUCCCAGACCGAGAGGGCCUGAACGUCCAGACCUCAGGGAAUGGGGUCGAAGGGGCGGCGCUCGUCCGCGGAGGUGGGCGGGAGCGGCCCGGGGCCUCCGGCCUCUAGGGAGCGGGAGUGACCCUCGGUUUCUGGCCUCCGAGGGGCGGGAGCGAUCCUCAGCCAUGUCCCUAGCCUCUGGCUUCCGGCUGAUUUUUAAAUUUUUGGUAGAGGCGGGAAUCUUGCUCUGUUGCCCAGGCUGGUCUCGAACUUGUGGCCUCAAGCGAUCCUCCCUCCUCGGUCUCCCGAAGUGCGGGGAUUACAGACAGAGCCACUGCGCACGGCCGUGGUCAGCUUUGAAAGCUGGGUAGAUCCCUUUGGCUCAUACGCCUUUCUGCUAGCUUACCCUGAUUCUGCUUCUGGUUCAGAUAGUAUUUUAAUAUUUCUAGUGUGUCUUUUUGUAAGAUACCUGAAAUCUUUUUGUGGAAUGAAGUGGCAUGAAAAAUAAACCAAUAAUCAUUAGCGACACCCUCUGUCUCUGAGUUGUGGGAGCCUU
rnacentral:lncRNA from 1 species